AGCGAACGCUGGCGGCAGGCUUAACACAUGCAAGUCGAGCGGGUGUAGCAAUACACCAGCGGCAGACGGGUGAGUAACGCGUGGGAACGUACCUUUUGGUUCGGAACAACACAGGGAAACUUGUGCUAGUACCGGAUAAGCCCUUACGGGGAAAGAUUUAUCGCCGAAAGAUCGGCCCGCGUCUGAUUAGCUAGUUGGUGAGGUAACGGCUCACCAAGGCGACGAUCAGUAGCUGGUCUGAGAGGAUGAUCAGCCACAUUGGGACUGAGAUACGGCCCAAACUCCUACGGGAGGCAGCAGUGGGGAAUAUUGGACAAUGGGGGCAACCCUGAUCCAGCCAUGCCGCGUGAGUGAUGAAGGCCCUAGGGUUGUAAAGCUCUUUUGUGCGGGAAGAUAAUGACGGUACCGCAAGAAUAAGCCCCGGCUAACUUCGUGCCAGCCGCCGCAGUAAAAC
rnacentral:rRNA from 1 species